rnacentral:rRNA from 1 species
AGUAUUUGGUCGUAGACCCGAAACCAGGUGAUCUACCCUUGGUCAGGUUGAAGUUCAGGUUACACUGAAUGGAGGACCGAACCGACUUACGUUGAAAAGUGAGCGGAUGAACUGAGGGUAGCGGAGAUAUUCCAAUCGAACCUGGAGAUAGCUGGUUCUCUCCGAAAUAGCUUUAGGGCUAGCCUCAAGUGAUGAUUAUUUGAGGUAGAGCACUGUUUGGACGAGGGGCCCCUCUCGGGUUACCGAAUUCAGACAAACUCCG